rnacentral:rRNA from 1 species
UGGGGAAUUUUGGACAAUGGGGGAAACCCUGAUCCAGCCAUCCCGCGUGUGCGAUGAAGGCCUUCGGGUUGUAAAGCACUUUUGGCAGGAAAGAAACGUCAUGGGUUAAUACCCCGUGAAACUGACGGUACCUGCAGAAUAAGCACCGGCUAACUACGUGCCAGCAGCCGCGGUAAUACGUAGGGUGCAAGCGUUAAUCGGAAUUACUGGGCGUAAAGCGUGCGCAGGCGGUUCGGAAAGAAAGAUGUGAAAUCCCAUAGCUCAACUUUGGAACUGCAUUUUUAACUACCGGGCUAGAGUGUGUCAGAGGGAGGUGGAAUUCCGCGUGUAGCAGUGAAAUGCGUAGAUAUGCGGAGGAACACCGAUGGCGAAGGCAGCCUCCAGGGAUAACACUGACGCUCAUGCACGAAAGCGUGGGGAGCAAACAGG